GCCGGACUAGCUCAGCUGGUAGAGCAACUGAUUUGUAAUCAGUAGGUCGUUGGUUCGAUUCCGAUGUCCGGCACCA
rnacentral:tRNA from 1 species